rnacentral:rRNA from 1 species
UACGUAGGGCGCAAGCGUUGUCCGGAUUUAUUGGGCGUAAAGAGCUCGUAGGCGGUCUGUCGCGUCGGAUGUGAAAACCCGGAGCUCAACUCCGGGCCUGCAUUCGAUACGGACAGACUUGAGUACUGCAAAAGAGACUGGAAUUCCUGGUGUAGCGGUGGAAUGCGCAGAUAUCAGGAGGAACACCGGUGGCGAAGGCGGGUCUCUGGGCAGAAACUGGCGCUGAGGAGCGAAAGCGUGGGGAGCGAACAAG